GCACCUCAGACGUCUUUUGGUUCUUAGGGACAGAGUUGUCUGCCCAGCUGACCCUCACAGCAUCAUGGGCUCAAGAUAUCUUGUCCUUAAGACAACAAGAAAUAAAGGGCUUUACAGCAAAAAUGAGACUCUUAAUGCAUGUGGCCACGUGAGACUUUCAGCAGCUCUAAUGCUGAUAUUCCCAGUAUGGGAUGAGGCUCCAGAGCUCACCAACAUCUGUGAGCACAUGUGUGCAGAAAACUCUAUAGCCUGAUGCUUAUUCUGACUUGAGGUUUUAUUGCCUGUGAUAUAUUUUGUAGUUACUUUACACGGGCCCUUGUUCGAGACUGUCCAUGGUAUGCCUUUGCAGAAGCUUAGAGAUAGAGGAUGCCGUCUAUGUGGCACUGACACUUUUAUUAAUGGAGUUUCCUUAACCUUUGAUUUCAUUUAUUUGUUCUUUGUUCUCCAUGACAUGUGGAAGCAAAAUAAAAUAAUUCUGCCACUUCCAGAAAAAGUGUUUUCUUUCCUU
rnacentral:lncRNA from 1 species